AGACGCCGCGCGCUUACCAGGGCGCGCGAGGCGCCGCAGGGGGGAGGCUUCUCCGAAAGCCGCGAGGGUAGCUCCGUGUGUCCGCUGUGCAAACCGGUCCUUCCGCCAAAAACCUGCUGUCUGGCUUUUCUCAGGCCUCCCUGGAUGGAUGUUGGAGAGUUUACGCGUGGCCUUGUGGGAUCGCUGUGGCCGACUCUCAGCUAUCAGAGGGCUCCAUCGCUGUAUCGUAAGGAGGCAGCUGGUGGCAAGUCCUGAGCAGGGAUGUGAUCCGACGGGCAGGCGGUGCCCGGGACAGAAGCUGACGUCACACAGCCACCCCAUGACGUCACCGGUGCCAAGUGCCGGCCGUGUGCGGAGCAGUUGGAGACACAGUGGGUGUCCGAGGCGGGGCUCUGCGUCCGAAG